GGCGAACGGGUGAGUAACACGUGAGUAACCUGCCCUGGACUUUGGGAUAACCCUCGGAAACGGGGGCUAAUACCGGAUAUGACAGCCAACUGCAUGGUUCGGUUGUGGAAAGUUUUUCGGUCUGGGAUGGGCUCGCGGCCUAUCAGCUUGUUGGUGGGGUGAUGGCCUACCAAGGCGACGACGGGUAGCCGGCCUGAGAGGGCGACCGGCCACACUGGGACUGAGACACGGCCCAGACUCCUACGGGAGGCAGCAGUGGGGAAUAUUGCACAAUGGGCGGAAGCCUGAUGCAGCGACGCCGCGUGAGGGAUGACGGCCUUCGGGUUGUAAACCUCUUUCAGCAGGGACGAAGCGCAAGUGACGGUACCUGCAGAAGAAGCGCCGGCCAACUACGUGCCAGCAGCCGCGGUAAGACGUAGGGCGCGAGCGUUGUCCGGAUUUAUUGGGCGUAAAGAGCUCGUAGGCGGCUUGUCGCGUCGACUGUGAAAACCCGCGGCUCAACCGCGGGCCUGCAGCCGAUACGGGCAGGCUAGAGUUCGGUAGGGGAGACUGGAAUUCCUGGUGUAGCGGUGAAAUGCGCAGAUAUCAGGAGGAACACCGGUGGCGAAGGCGGGUCUCUGGGCCGAUACUGACGCUGAGGA
rnacentral:rRNA from 1 species